UUCCCUUAGUAACGGCGAGUGAACAGGGAGAAGCCCAGCACCGAAGCCUGUGGCCACUUGGCUACUAGGCAAUGUGGUGUUUAGGUUGUCCCGCGGAGACGUUGUCCCACCCCAAGUCCAGCAAUGAGUAUGGUUAUCGUGACUUGGCCCACAGAGGGUGAAAGGCCCGUGGGGGUGGGAUUCAGGCAUGUCAAUGUCUCCCUGAGGCGACCUUGGAGUCGGGUUGUUUGAGAUUGCAGCCCAAAGUGGGUGGUAGACUCCAUCCAAGGCUAAAUACUUACACGAGUCCGAUAGCGAACAAGUACCGUGAGGGAAAGUUGAAAAGUACUUUGAAGAGAGAGUAAACAGUGCGUGAAACCGCUCAGAGGUAAACGGGUGGAGUUGAACUGCAAAUUCUGAGAAUUUAGCUGGUGAGUGUGGUUUGGGCUUGGACAAAUUGAUCGGCUAUCUGGGUCCACUCAACUGUGGGUCCUUGCUCUCGGGCAGGGAUGUGUGCUGCACUGAAAUGUGUUGCGCGCCCGGACUGUGACUCGGAUCGACUUGCCAGUGCACUUUCUCGGAAUGUUCACCACGACUGGCGCUGCCGCCUGUCUGAUAUGGUUAAACCGGUCCGGUAUUGCUUACGUGGCUUUGCUUGGCUGGGACGGCAGGUAACUCGUUGGCUUGUAGGUUGGCUUCGGCUAGCUUGCGUCCGGCUUUCGAGCGUUACAGCUGACCGUAUUGGUACUGUGUGGUGCGUCAGAGAUGGCGGCUUGUUGUGUGUGUUCGUGCCUGUUCUGCUGAUGGGAUCGGGUUUGGUCGCUAUGUUGCCUGUCUCUGGCAGGCCUGGUGAUGGCUCGGUUUCUCUUGGUGGACGGUUGCGUGCAUAUCACUUUACAGGGCCGAUAGUCUGUGGUGUAGUGGUAGACCUUCCACCUGACCCGUCUUGAAACACGGACCAAGGAGAGUAACAUGUGCGCGAGUCAAUGGGCGUUACGAAACCCAAAGGCGAAGUGAAAGUAAAGGUUCGGCUUGUCUGAACUGAGGUGAGAUCUUGUCGUUUCCCACGCGUGGUACUACCAAGCAUUCGAGCGGCAGGCGCAUCACCGGCCCGUCCCAUGACGUGGUUGCGGUCUUCGGACUGUACAUCGUCGGGGCGGAGCAUGAGCGUACAUGUUGAGACCCGAAAGAUGGUGAACUAUGCUUGCGCAGGUUGAAGCCAGAGGAAACUCUGGUGGAGGACCGUAGCGAUUCUGACGUGCAAAUCGAUCGUCAAACGUGAGUAUAGGG
rnacentral:rRNA from 1 species